rnacentral:rRNA from 1 species
UACGGGGGGGGCAAGCGUUGUUCGGAAUUACUGGGCGUAAAGGGCUCGUAGGUGGCCAACUAAGUCGGACGUGAAAUCCCUCAGCUUAACUGGGGAACUGCGUCCGAUACUGGAUGGCUUGAGUUCGGGAGAGGGAUGCGGAAUUCCAGGUGUAGCGGUGAAAUGCGUAGAUAUCUGGAGGAACACCGGUGGCGAUGGCGGCAUCCUGGACCGAUACUGACGCUGAGGAGCGAAAGCCAGGGGAGCAAACGGG